GCUUGCUUCCGCCGACGACCGGCGCACGGGUGCGUAACGCGUAUACAAUCUACCUUAUACUGGGGUAUAGCCUUUAGAAAUGAAGAUUAACCCCCCAUAGUCUCUUAGAGUGGCAUCACUUCUAGAGUAAAGGUUACGGUAUAAGAUGAGUAUGCGUUCUAUUAGUUUGUUGGUGUGGUAACGGCACACCAAGACUACGAUAGAUAGGGGCCCUGAGAGGGGGAUCCCCCACACUGGUACUGAGACACGGACCAGACUCCUACGGGAGGCAGCAGUGGGGAAUUUUCCGCAAUGGACGAAAGUCUGACGGAGCGACGCUGCGUGAAGGAUGACGGCCCGCGGGUUGUAAACUUCUUUUCUCGAAGAAGAAACAAAUGACGGUAUUCGAGGAAUAAGCAUCGGCUAACUCCGUGCCAGCAGCCGCGGUAAGACGGAGGAUGCAAGUGUUAUUCGGAAUGAUUGGGCGUAAAGAGUCUGUAGGCUGUAU
rnacentral:rRNA from 1 species